rnacentral:lncRNA from 1 species
GGAUCAAGUCCACAAGGGAGAUCUUUCUGUUUUCCCUACCCAUUCAGUAGUCUGAGAUCAUCUACUAUUUCCUGGGAAUAUUCCUCAAAGACAAGGUUUUAAAGAUUACACCCCUGCAAAAGCAGAUUCAUGCUGUCCAGCUGACCAGGAACAAUGCAUUUUUCACUAUCUUGGACUAUAAGCAACAUAUCAUCUGUGUGUGAAGUGCUCCAAGGAAGUAGCCACUGCCAUCAAUGAGACCGUCAUCCUUGCACAGCUCUCUGUAAGUCCCAUGCAGUGAAGCUACUGGAGGAACAAGAUUGGCAAACUCCACAUUGUCCCUUGAAAGGUAAUAGGCAGCUGUAACUCUGUGCUGGUACUCCUCACCCCUGCCACCAAAGAAGCUGCUAAUAAUGGCCGGUAUCCUCAACUACUACAUUUUAGCCACGGGAUUGCAAUACCACCCUGGGCAACUUCACCAAAGCCACCUUUGAUGCCAUCUACAAGACCUAUAGUUAUCUCACUCCAAUCUCUGGGAAGCCUCUGUCUGCUU